UCGCCUCUUGGGGUGCGCUCAGCUCCAGCCCGACUCCAGCCCGACUCCAGCCAGACUCCAGUCCGACUCCAGUCCGACUCCGGCCCUGCUCCGGCUCUGCUCCAGCCCGGCUCCUGCCCUGCUCCAGCCUGGCUCCCGUUCUCCUCCGCCACGCCUCUCUGUGAGCUCCGCACCCCGACUCCCGGCUCCCAACUUUCGGUCCCUCUGUCGCUCAGCGCGUCCCGUACCCCCGUGACCUCGCGCCCUCCCAAGACCCUGUGCCCGAUCUUCUACCCCCCUCAACCCUGCCACAGUCCUCCGCCCUUUCUCGCUCUCCAUCUGUCCGGACGUCAGUCGGUCUGUCUGUCCACCUCCCCACCCUCCUUUUCCUUCCUCUGUCCCGCGUCUCUGGCUUGUUCGCUAGUUCGACUUGGCGGAGCAGCUUCGCAGGAAAAUCCCAGAAACCAUUGCAAAAAGCUUACAGUGAAAUUUAAGAAGUUCUACGAUUUCGGCGCCAUUUUCGAGUGGAGUGAAAGGUUGUUUAGCUCUUCCUAGCUCUUCCAGUAUGAAACUCGACGUUGGAAAAGUUUGGCUCGAAGGUGCGGAGGACGUGUACACCGUGCGUUUUGGGUGUGGGGGCGCAAGGCAUCUGCAACGUUAAAAGACGAGACGUUCUCAACUGCGAAGAGAGGAAGAGGCGUAGUCUUUGGCUCUUAAAUCAUUUGGCCAAACACGUCGCAGUCCUGAAGGGGGUGGGGCCAGGGCAACUCCAAAGUAUUGAUUCUUUGUCUUUUCUAUUCAGCGAAUGACCCUCUCUAGAAGUGACCAGACGCCUCUUUGUGUUCUCCUUUCGGCGACCAUCAACGGUUUUUUUCUCCAUUAUUCUGCCAUGUCCGUGUAAAAAUGAUUUGUGAUAUAGCCAAGACAAGAUGGAAUUUAGAGACUCCAACUUAAGGAGUAGAGCUAUUAUUAUUAAUGGCUUUAUUUAUCAUGACCUUAUGGCUUUAUUAUUAGUGCAUUUGUUAGCACUGGAUCACAAUCUGUUGUGUUAGGCAUUUUGUACUUAGUUUAAUUACAUACUCUGUAUAUUUAAUUAAUCAAUUAGUUAAUAGGACCGAGCAUUCAUUGUACUAGUUUUGAAUAAUGGACAUAAUUUUAAAUGAAAAUACAGGAAGCUUGGUGAGGUUGAACCUCUGUUUAUGUAUACAGAAUGUAUUUUUACUUUCAAAGGCAGUAUAGUUUUAUUGUUAUAAUUAUUAGGCCUGUGGCUAAGGACCGAAGGAUUUUUUUGUGUGUGCUUUCUUGAAUGUUUUGUUUAAACAAAAGGAAAUGAAUGAAUGUAACUUGCUGCUCAUGUGUCCAUUUUGAGAGUCAAGAAUGGGAGAGUGCACAGUGCCGGCCAUUUCAAGACAUGAGUUUCUAUGGAGUUGCUCAAGAAGGAACCAUUUGACAUCAAGUAUUUAAAGUUGAUUUGUGGUUUGAUAAGUGACAUUGACAAAUGUAAAGUAUUUGUGAAUAAGUUUGAAUAACCUGCAAUGUAUGAAAACAUCUAGGGGUUUCAUCUAUAGAACAUUCUCAUGUUUAAAAUCAACUAAUGACAAGGUGUUUAGACGUGAGUUAAAACCAAAGGAGCUACCCACAGGUUUUUUUUUAAUCAAAAGUUCCUUGCAUCAAUUUCCAAUAAAUGACCCCAAACUGGGGACAAUAAAUGAGACUUAUACAA